rnacentral:rRNA from 1 species
CGGAGACUGCAAGCGUUAUUCGGAUUCACUGGGCGUAAAGGGUGCGCAGGCGGCCAAGUGUGUGAGGCGUGAAAGCCUGGAGCUCAACUCCAGAAUUGCACCUCAAACUACAUGGCUAGAGCAUUGGAGAGGGUAGCGGAAUUCACGGUGUAGCAGUGAAAUGCGUAGAUAUCGUGAGGAACACCAGAGGCGAAGGCGGCUACCUGGACAAUUGCUGACGCUCAGGCACGAAAGCGUGGGGAGCAAAAGGGAUUAGAUACCCCUGUAGUCCACGCCCUAAACGGUGCACACUAGGUCUUGGCGGAUUCGACCCCACCAGGGCCCCAGCUAACGCGUUAAGUGUGCCGCCUGAGGACUACGGUCGCAAGACUA